rnacentral:rRNA from 1 species
UACAGAGGUCCCAAGCGUUGUUCGGAUUCACUGGGCGUAAAGGGUGCGUAGGUGGUGAGGUAAGUCGGAUGUGAAAUCUCCGAGCUCAACUCGGAAAUGGCAUUGGAAACUACCUUGCUCGAGGGUUGGAGGGGGGACUGGAAUUCUCGGUGUAGCAGUGAAAUGCGUAGAUAUCGAGAGGAACACCAGUGGCGAAGGCGAGUCCCUGGACAACUCCUGACACUGAGGCACGAAGGCUAGGGGAGCAAACAGG